AUUGAACGCUGGCGGCAGGCCUUACACAUGCAAGUCGAACGAGUGGCGGACGGGUGAGUAAUAUAUGGGAACGUGCCCGGUAGCGGGGGAUAACUACUGGAAACGGUAGCUAAUACCGCAUACCAUCGGAUCUGCCCAGAUGGGAUUAGCUAGUUGGUGGGGUAAAGGCUCACCUAGGCGACGAUCCGUCGCUGGUUUGAGAGGAAGACCAGCCACACUGGAACUGAGACACGGGCCAGACUCCAACGGGAGGCAGCAGUGGGGAAUAUUGCACAAUGGGCGAAAGCCUGAUUCAGCCAUCCCGCGUGUAUGAAGAAGGCCUUCGGGUUGUAAAGUACGUUUAGCUAAGAGGCGUUAUCUGCAGAAGAAGCACCGGCUAACUCCGUGCCAGCAGCCGCGGUAAUUC
rnacentral:rRNA from 1 species